AUUGAACGCUGGCGGCAGGCCUAACACAUGCAAGUCGAACGAGUGGCGGACGGGUGAGUAAUGACUGGGAAACCGCCCGAGGGAGGGGGCUAACCACUGGAAACGGUAGCUAAUAACGCAUACCAUCGGAUGUGCCCAGAUGGGGUCAGAUGGUAGGUGGGGUAACGGCUCACCGAGGCGACGCACCCUAUCUGGUCUGAGAGUAUGCCCAGCCACACUGGAGCUUGGACAGGGUCCAGCCUCCUACGGUAGGCAGCAGUGGCGAAUAUUGCACAAUGGGCGCAAGCCGUCUGAAGCCAUGCCGAGUGUAUGAAGAAGGCCUUCGGGUUGUAAAGUACGUUCAGCGAGUGGGCGUUACUCGCAGAAGAAGCACCGGCUAACUCCGUGCCAGCAGCCGCGGUAAUUC
rnacentral:rRNA from 1 species